rnacentral:rRNA from 1 species
UACAGAGGUCUCAAGCGUUGUUCGGAUUCAUUGGGCGUAAAGCGCUCGUAGGCGGUCUGUGGCGUCCGCUGUGAAAACUCGGGGCUUAACCCCGAGCCUGCAGUGGAUACGGGCAGACUAGAGGUAGGUAGGGGAGAAUGGAAUUCCCGGUGUAGCGGUGAAAUGCGCAGAUAUCGGGAGGAACACCGGUGGCGAAGGCGGUUCUCUGGGCCUUACCUGACGCUGAGGAGCGAAAGCGUGGGGAGCGAACAGG